CAGCAGCCACGGUAAUACGAAGGGGGCUAGCGUUGCUCGGAAUUACUGGGCGUAAAGGGCGCGUAGGCGGCGCUCCAAGUUAGGCGUGAAAUUCCCGGGCUCAACCUGGGGACUGCGCUUAAGACUGGAGUGCUUGAGGAUGGAAGAGGGUUGUGGAAUUCCCAGUGUAGAGGUGAAAUUCGUAGAUAUUGGGAAGAACACCGGUGGCGAAGGCGGCAACCUGGUCCAUUACUGACGCUGAGGCGCGAUAGCGUGGGGAGCAAACAGGAUUAGAGACCCCAGUAGUCCCUGUCUCUUAUAC
rnacentral:rRNA from 1 species